GAUGAACGCUGGCGGCGUGCCUAAUACAUGCAAGUCGAACGAAGAGGGGACGGGUGAGUAAAACGUGGAUAACCCCAUAUAUGAGUGGGAUAAAACAGGGAAACAGGAGCUAUACCGGACAUUUAAGGAUGGAUCGGCGCUGCAUUAGCUAUCGGCUAAGGUAACGGCAUAGCAAGGCAACUAGGCAUAGCGGUCCUGAGAGGUGGAUCGGCAACACUGGACUGGAGACACGGUCCAGACUCCAAGGGAGGGAGGCAGUGGGGAAUCUGCCGCAAUGAGGGAAAGCCGUACGGGGCAACGCCGCGUGAGUGAUGAGGGUUUUCGGAUCGUAAGCCUCUGUUAUUAGGGAAGCGGUACCUAAUCAGAAAGCCACGGCUAACUACGUGCCAGCCGCCGCGGUAAUUC
rnacentral:rRNA from 1 species